rnacentral:lncRNA from 1 species
UGUGAAUUAGUUUUGUUUCAGCCCUUCUGAGGGGAUUUGAGCACUUUUUUUGGCCUAGAUUUUUUUAAGUUUUCUUCAUCUUUUAAAGUUUUAGUCUGCCAGUUUGUGAGGGGAUUGAGCCUGAAUUUCAGCCCUCAAAGAGAUAAAAAGAAUCAAAAUAACAAUAAUUUAUUAUUUUUAUCAAUUUCAGUGAUCAGAUUCGUGAAUUAGUUUUAUUUCAGCCCUUCUGAGGGGAUUUGGGCUUGGCCUGGAUUUUUAAAAUUUCCUGUGUGUUUUAAGGUGAAUUCUCCCAGUUUGUGAGGGGAAUGUGCCUGAAUCUCAGCCCUUGAAGAGGUAAAAAUAUUAAAAAUAGCAAUAAAUUAUUUUUUUUACCAAUUUCAGUGAUCAGAAUUGUGAAUUAGUUUUGGUUUAGCCCUUCUGAGAGGAUUGUGCUGCUUCAGCCACAGGCCAGGAAAAUGAUUUCUAUUUUCAAAGGAGAAAACAAAUGGAGCUCACAGGAAUAGAAUUCCUGAAUCUUCCCUCUCCCAGCUGUUAUCUCUUCAUUUUUCCAGGAAAAUUGUGCCAAUCCCUUCCCCUCAUCCCCUCCACUCCUGGAAACCGGGAAGAGAUGGGCAAAUAAAAGGGGAAUUUCUCCCAUUUUCCUCCUCUAUCAGGAAUUCUCUCCGCAGGAAAUAAAUAAUAAACCCAACCAAGCAGAGCCUUGGAGCCCCUGGAUUUUCCUCGCCGGGAGCUGAAGUUAAAAAUUAUUCAAAGGAGAAAUUCCUGGCCUGUGAAGCGGAGGCUCCGACUGUACCAGGCAAAGAUUUCCACCAGCAUUCCCUCUCUCGGCCAAGGCCGAGAUAACAGAGCAGGAAGAAAUCCCCACUUCCCAGAUUCCAUCGGCAGCUCCCAUUCCCACCUCGUUUUUCCUCGUUUUUCUCCUUUUGGGAUGAGGAUUUGGCCUCUUCUCCUUGGAAUUUGCCGGAGUUUAAAGGACAAAGAGGACAGGGCACCACAAGUCCACCUCUGGUUUUGCCACCGGUCGCUCGGAGCCGAUUUCCCCGCGAAAUCCUCGCGCUCCAAGGUCGCCUUUUCCAGGACGCGGAAGAGGAAAACUCUCCUGGCUCCUCAUCCUUCCAAGCUUUUCCUUCCCCACCUGGAGGCUGAUCUGGCUUUGGGAGAAGCUCCUUGUGCUUCCAGCACUGAAGUUUUUCCCUGGGUUUCGUGCUGGUCCUGGAAUUCCAGUGGGAAUUUUCAGCCCAGUUUGGGCUGCUUUAAUACAUUUUGGGAAAGUUAA